GACGAACGCUGGCGGCGUGCUUAACACAUGCAAGUCGAACGGAAAGGCCCUGCUUUUGUGGGGUGCUCGAGUGGCGAACGGGUGAGUAACACGUGAGUAACCUGCCCUUGACUUUGGGAUAACUUCAGGAAACUGGGGCUAAUACCGGAUAGGAGCUCCUGCUGCAUGGUGGGGGUUGGAAAGUUUCGGCGGUUGGGGCUGGACUCGCGGCUUAUCAGCUUGUUGGUGGGGUAGUGGCUUACCAAGGCUUUGACGGGUAGCCGGCCUGAGAGGGUGACCGGCCUCAUUGGGACUGAGAUACGGCCCAGACUCCUACGGGAGGCAGCAGUGGGGAAUAUUGCACAAUGGGCGGAAGCCUGAUGCAGCAACGCUGCGUGCGGGAUGACGGCCUUCGGGUUGUAAACCGCUUUCGCCUGUGACGAGGCGUGAGUGACGGUAAUGGGUAAAGAAGCACCGGCUAACUACGUG
rnacentral:rRNA from 1 species